GAAACUGAAGCAGAAAAGCUGAGAAGCAAAGCCAAGAUUUAAGUAUCUAAAGCUCCACUCUUUGAAAGGAUUCAAGGUUAUUCACACUGUACACAAGAACGAAGCCAUCAGCAAAUGAAAAAUAAUGCUUUGGCAGCUCCACGCCUUCCUGUAGACCUCUGGUGUCAUAAAGAUGUAACUGUUCUUUUACUCCUCGGUCUGUUUCUACUGAAGCCAUGUAUACAUCUUCCAUUGUUUCGCAAUCUUCCAUUCCUG
rnacentral:lncRNA from 1 species